GACGAACCGUGCGAACGUUGUUCGGAAUCACUGGGCUUAAAGGGCGCGUAGGCGGGCUCGCAAGUCAGGGGUGAAAUACCACGGCUCAACCGUGGCAGUGCCUUUGAUACUGCGAACCUCGAGGGAGGUAGGGGCGUGCGGAACUUCCGGUGGAGCGGUGAAAUGCGUAGAUAUCGGAAGGAACACCGGUGGCGAAAGCGGCGCGCUGGACCUCUUCUGACGCUGAGGCGCGAAAGCCAGGGGAGCAAACGGG
rnacentral:rRNA from 1 species